AUAUAUGAUAUGUUUCUUUACCGUUGAGAUGCAUCAGACGGAUCGAGUCAAACUCCAAUUUGGAUUUGAACAACAAAUACAGUCUCAGCCAAGAUGUCUAAGUGAACACCAAAACAUAACUAUGGUACAAGCUUGGGACACACAUUGGUAAGAUUUAAACAAAGAAGAGUUAAAAGAAUGGAAAAGAAGAAGACAUUUGGUGUUACAAGGAAACUCGGUAAUUGGUGAGUCUAAGUCGGGUAGAGAAUGCCUGAAUUGGUUUUUAUCAAUUUUUUUUAUGCACGUUGCUCCAACACAAUUUUUAAAUGAUCCCCGUUAACGUGUAGCAUCUUCAACCCAACAAACGACAUCACCCCCACAUCAAGACAUUCCCCCCACAUACACAUCCACAUUUGGGGUCCACCAUCAUCCUCAGCUCAACAACAUAUAUGAUAUGUUUCUUUACCGUUGAGAUGCAUCAGACGGAUCGAGUCAAACUCCAAUUUGGAUUUGAACAACAAAUACAGUCUCAGCCAAGAUGUCUAAGUGAAAGACCAUAACAUAAUAUGGUCCAAGCUUGGGACACACAUUGGCAAGAUUUAUAACAAAGGAAGAGUUAAAAGAAUGAAAAGAAGAAGACAUUUGUGUUUAUCAAGGAACUCGGUUUAAUUGGUGAGUCUAAAGUCAGGGUAGAGAAUGCCUGAAUGGUUUUUAUACAAUUCUUUUUAUGCCCGUUGUGCUCCCAACGACAAUUUUUGAAGAUCCCGUGUUAACGGGUGUAGCAUCUUUCAACCAACAGACAACAUCACCCCCACAUCAAGCAUUCCCCCCAAUACACAUCCACGAUUUGGGGCCCACCAUCAUCUCAGCUCAAACAACAUACUAUGAAUAUGUUUCUUUACCGUUGAGAUGCAAUCAGACGAUCGAGUCAAACUCUCCAAUUUGGAUUUGAACAACAAAUACAGUCUCAGCCAAGAUGUCUAGUGAACCCAUAACAUAACUAUGGUCCAAGCUAGGGACACACAUUGGCAAGAUUUAAACAAAGAAGAGUUAAAAGAAUGGAAAAGAAGAAGACAUUUGGUGUUCCACAGGAAACUCGGUAAUUGGUGAGUCUAAGUCGGGUAGAGAAUGCCUGAAUGUGGUUUUUAUCAAUUCUUUUUAUGCACGUUGCUCCAACACAAUUUUGAAUGAUCCCCGUUAACGUGUAGCAUCUUCAACCCAACAAACAACAUCACC
rnacentral:lncRNA from 1 species